rnacentral:Y_RNA from 1 species
GGCUGGUCUGAUGGUAGUGGGUUAUCAGAAUUUAUUAACAUUAGUGUCACUAAAGUUGGUAUUCAACCCCCCACUGCUAAAUUUGACUGCAUUAA